rnacentral:misc_RNA from 1 species
GAUAACCUUCCUGUCCUCGACCUAAAUUGCAUUAAAAGAAAUUUGUCAAAUUUGUCACUCCCAAUAGUAAGGAACUUAUCCUUGAAACAUAGUUCUAUCAUACAUCAUUAGGAUCAUCCUGGCACAAGAAUGCCACAACACAUGGUCACAGCAACAGAUUCACAUCGUAUAUCUUUCAGCAGUAACCAGAAAAAUAAAUAUAUACACAUAUAU